rnacentral:piRNA from 1 species
CGGACAAGGAAGUCCAGAUGCACUCCUCUG